rnacentral:rRNA from 1 species
CCGCGGUAAUUCCAGCUCCAAUAGCGUAUAUUAAAGUUGUUGCAGUUAAAAGCUCGUAGUUGAAUUUCGGGAUCAGUACGCUGGUCGUGCCUUAGGUAUGCACUGGUGUCACUGGUUCCUCCCUUCUGAAGAACUGUCAUGCCAUUAAUUUGGUGUGGCGGGAAUCAGGACUGUUACUUUGAAAAAUUAGAGUGUUUAAAGCAGGCUCGCGCUUGAAUACAUUAGCAUGGAAUAAUGAAAUAGGACGUUUGAUCCUAUUUUGUUGGUUUCUAGGAUCGACGUAAUGAUUAAUAGGGAUAGUUGGGGGCAUUAGUAUUCAAUUGUCAGAGGUGAAAUUCUUGGAUUUAUUGAAGACUAACUACUGCGAAAGCAUUUGCCAAGGAUGUUUUCAUUAAUCAAGAACGAAAGUUAGGGGGAUCGAAGACGAUCAGAUACCGUCGUAGUCUUAACCAUAAACUAUGCCGACUAGGGAUCGGAUGAUGUUAUUUUUAAUGACUCAUUCGGCGCCUUACG